rnacentral:rRNA from 1 species
UACAGAGGGUGCGAGCGUUAAUCGGAAUUACUGGGCGUAAAGCGCGCGUAGGCGGCUUUUCAAGUCGGAUGUGAAAUCCCCGGGCUUAACCUGGGAACUGCAUUCGAGACUGUCUAGCUAGAGUAUGGGAGAGGGAAGUGGAAUUUCAGGUGUAGCGGUGAAAUGCGUAGAUAUCUGAAGGAACAUCAGUGGCGAAAGCGACUUCCUGGACCAAUACUGACGCUCAUGUGCGAAAAGCGUGGGGGAGCAAACAGGG